CGGGUGAGUAACACGUGGAUAACCUACCUAUAAGACUGGGAUAACUUCGGGAAACCGGAGCUAAUACCGGAUAAUAUUUUGAACCGCAUGGUUCAAAAGUGAAAGACGGUCUUGCUGUCACUUAUAGAUGGAUCCGCGCUGCAUUAGCUGGUUGGUAAGGUAACGGCUUACCAAGGCAACGAUGCAUAGCCGACCUGAGAGGGUGAUCGGCCACACUGGAACUGAGACACGGUCCAG
rnacentral:rRNA from 1 species